CCAUGAGUAAAGUGGCGACCGGGUGAGUAACACGUGACUAACCUACCUUCAAGUGGGGGAUAACCUCGGGAAACCGAGGCUAAUACCGCAUAAUAUCGCAAGAUCAAAGCAGCAAUGCGCUGGAAGAGGGGGUCGCGGCUGAUUAGCUAGUUGGCGGGGUAACGGCCCACCAAGGCGAAGAUCGGUAUCCGGCCUGAGAGGGCGCACGGACACACUGGAACUGAAACACGGUCCAG
rnacentral:rRNA from 1 species